rnacentral:rRNA from 1 species
UACGUAGGGUCCGAGCGUUGUCCGGAUUUAUUGGGCGUAAAGAGCUCGUAGGCGGUUCCGUAAGUCAGAUGUGAAAACUCAGGGCUCAACCCGGAGACGCCAUCUGAUACUGCGGUGACUGGAGUCUGGUAGGGGAACACGGAAUUCCUGGUGUAGCGGUGAGAUGCGCAGAUAUCAGGAGGAACACCGAUGGCGAAGGCAGUGUUCUGGGCCAGUACUGACGCUGAGGAGCGAAAGCGUGGGGAGCAAACAGG